rnacentral:snRNA from 1 species
AUAAGUGAGGGCAAUCCAGCUGUGACGUGUGUCACCCUAUUGAUCACCAGGUUUAAGUCAGCUACUCUGACUGGGUGGGUGUUCCCUUCCUCCCUCACCCCUCCACGUACGUCCCUCCCAGAGCAGUGCACUCGAUGGAAGAGGACGCCCAUUCCAGAAAAAUGGAGAGUAUCGAUCUUCGAUCAAGGAUACAUGAUAGCUGCAAAGUUAGUAACUUUAGGUGAUCCCUUCAUUAAACAAAAAUCAAUUGUUUAUAGGUAGUCCUCUGCUUACUUUACUAU